rnacentral:pre_miRNA from 1 species
AGUGGGAUAGCUGGGUCAAAUGGUGGUUCCAUGCCCAGUUUUCCAAGAAUUUUCCAUACUGCUUUCCAUAUUGGGUACACCAAUAUGCAGUCCCACCAGCAAU